AACAACCUUUUGUAAUGUCAUGCAGACACUGAUCUAGCAUCUGAAAGGGACUGAGAUUACCCUAUGAUGACUGCGCCCUGUGCACCAUGAUUUAUUUGCAGAACAUUUGAUACUUCCUAAUAAGGCCAGAUUUAAAUAUGACAGGCUUAUGCAUGUUAGAGGUCCUAGACACAAUGAACCCAGGGUAACAUACAGAAGGCAACAGCUACUCUUUACAGUAAGCUAACCCUCACUUUUACUUUAGUGUAUUUAAUUUUUUUCCACCUCUUUUUGAUUGCAGUUUACCCUCAAGGGGCACUCCUUUCGUGAAUGUCUUUUGGAAUGUCAACUGUAUUUUUGGAUGGAAAUUAUAGAGGAUAUCAAAGGAAGGGGCAUAGCUCCUUGCCUCAUUGUGCCAGACCACAAACCGUACUGAUGGGGGACACUAGUGAACUUUUGCAACAGGUUAGUUAGAAAGCUCAUGUUCCUGGUCCUUUGCCAAAACUUUUGGCAGGCUGUGACACGGCGAUCAGACAGAGUCGACAAGCCGUAGCAUUGAAGUGCCUCGUCAUAAGUACAGCCUGGGUAAAUGACUUCUGAACGCUCUAAACAAAGUCAGACUGGCAGUGCUGCCCAAGCAAGGGAAGUAUACUCCACAACAGACCUUAUUAACAGACCUUAUGAGGUCCAAUUCUGAUAUGCAUGAUUUCUUGAGAGUUCAUAAUGUGUGCCUUGACAAUGUAAUCACAAUGCGUAUUACAGUUGAGGUUAUCCGCAACUGAACCCAGAGAAGCUUUUAAAUAGUGCCCCUUGUAAUUGUACUGCAUGUUUAGAGAACUGCAAGGGGAGAGGGUAGUAGAUAGAAGAUAGAUAGUUUUUAUUAGGAAAAAAUUGCGUAGCAGCCCUUAAGCUGAAUUAGGCAUUUACAAAACAAUAGAUACUAUAUUACAACUAUAAUAAAUUUAACUAUAUACAGUAAUAAAUAUAAAAUAUAAAAAUUUAAAAACGUGAUAAAGUUCAUCCUAUAUAAAAUUAAUCAUAAUCCAUAAAAACCAUAUAUACUCUCCAUUUAAGAUUUGUUGGCCAUCGAGAAUGUAAAAAAAGAAUUCAUGGCUCUGUUUGUUUUGAGGCGGGGCAAGGCAAAGGGCCGUUUUUUCCUAAGGUUAUGGCUUGAAAUGUUUGAUGGAGGCAGCAAGCUCUUUAGUUUAUGAUUCGGAUCAGAAACUAUUUCGUCGAAGAGCUUGCUCCAAAUUAGGCCGUGGUGCACUUCUAAAUGGUGUUAUGCCCAACAAAUCACAAGCACCAUCGUAGCUCGUACGGGGCAAAAUUAUAGAUAGCGCCCUUUUCUCGAUACGUACAAGCUCAUUUUUUAGGUACUGCGGCAGGGCAUUAUGAAAAACCGGCACCGCAUAGUCGACGGCCGAACGAAUGCAAGCUUUGUAAAAUAAAGAUAAGUCUGAGGGAGGUAGCCGAGCCCUUUUAAGUUGGAUUAAAAAGUAUAGCUUUUUGCUCGAUUUCUUGACUACCUCGUUCACAUGAGCGUUCCACGACAAGUUAUCGCUUAUUGUGAGCCCUAAUAAUUUCGUGCUUAUAAUUUAUUUUGCUAAUAAUUUAACGACCUCAAGCUCCUUUCCCUCGAUGGUAAUGGCAUCGAAAGGUCGAGGCGAGCGGGCAAACGAAAUUCUCAUCUCUUUGCAUUUAUCAGGAUUAAGGACUACUCUAUUGUCGUGGGACCACUCAAUGAUGUCGUUGACCAACCCCUGAGCGCUGCUUAAUUCCCCUUUCAAUACCACUUCGGAGACCGUGGUGUCGUCUACGUACUUCCAUAAGUGUGGGGAAUGAAUGUUGUGCGCCUAACCGGCUGCAUGCAAAAUUUCGACUGUCCAUAAAGUUCAUUUUAACCAAGCAGUUUUACGACCAAAUCCGUACCACCAUCAGACCUACACAGUUCCCUACCUGUGUUUUACUCUUCAUUGAUUGGAAAUGGCCUUAUUCUACACCAGGGAAGCUUUAAAAGCAGUUUUUACAUCAGCCAAGGCGAAACCACUCAGCCGUAACCUGUGGGAUACUCUAAACGGGCUACAGAUAUCACGUUUACGUCCUACUCGUCGGAGCAAACGGGCUGGACAACGGAAGCAAAGACCUACUUCGGGUUCUACUAGUCGCAGAGAGGGAAGUGCAGUUCCUGGCUUGGCAGAAAUGUAUUCGGUUCCCGAUAUUUCCAACCUCAAUGAAGGGAUCAAUUUGCAUACUCCAAACCAGAACUUAUUAAUAUUCAAUGUGACACCCAGCCCAGCGACAAAAACAACAUUGGAGAAACCGAAACCGGACCUACUCGGAGACAUUUACGCGCCAAAGUUCCAAAUGUGAUUGUCUCUAACGUUACGUCACUUGCUCCAAAAAUCGAUGAAGUAAUAGAAUUCGUUUUGCGCAAAGAAGCCGACCUUGUUUUUAUUACCGAAACUUGGUUAAAAGAAAGCGUGUCCGACGGAGUCAUUAAUAUUCCUGACUUUAGUGUGGUAUGCCGUGAUUGGAUGGAACAGAUGCAUGGUGGAGUGUGCGCGUAUAUCAAAGAUGGCUGUAGAUUCCAACAUCUAAAAGAGCUGAACUGCUGUGAAGAUCAUGAGAGUUUGUGGCUGCAUUUAAGACCUAAUCGCCUUCCUCGAGGUUUCCACUGUAUUAUUGCCGCUGCAAUAUAUCACCCACCCAGCGCAGACGACCAGUCACUGCGGGAGCAUCUGUUCCAGUCCCUCGCGCUCGUAGAGUCAAAGUUCCCCAACUCUGGCAUACUGCUUACUGGCGAUUUCAACCGUCUGGACGUAAGCGGCCUGCUAAGACACUUUCGCCUGAAGCAAAUUGUUAAGGUGCCAACGCGGAAAGAUGCAACCUUGGAUUUGAUUCUUACUAACAUGCACGAUCAUUACGCCACGCCACAGGCCUUUCCACCUUUUGGUCUGUCGGACCACAACACGGUGCUAGCUGCUGCAAUAGACAAGAAACAAAACAACAACCGCAAGAAAACUAUCAUAAAGCGGGACCUGCACACCAGUUCCAAGGCCGCACUCGGAAGAUAUCUGAUCAGCAUUGAUUGGUCCUUGUUAUUCGCCCCUCUAUCGGACUGCGAUCAAAUGUGGAAUACAUUUAUUGAAGUGGUGAGUACUGGGCUUGACAUCAUCAUGCCCGAAAAAGAGUACCACAUUUGUGCAGCCGACGCACCAUGGAUGACGCCAGGUCUUAAAUCCAUCAUACUCAAGAGACAAGAGGCCUUUAAAAAUCACGGCCCCGAGUCAGUUCAAUUCAAGUUCUUCAGGAACAUGGUGAAUAGGGAGAGGAAGGUCUGCAAAAGCCGGUUUUACGAUUCGAAGGUGAAACAACUAAAGGGCGAAAACCCCAAGAAAUGGUGGGAUGAGGUUAAGCAGCUCUGUGGCACCAAAGUAACAAAUGGGGACUAGACUACUCAAAUAAACAUCGAGAAUUUUUCCGAACUCCCUAUGCAAGAUCAGGCAAACAGAAUAAACUCAGCCUUUUUAGAGCCUUUGGAGGUUUACCGGUUGAACGAGCCGCUCGAGCGCUUUCCCCUGGAGGAUGAGCCCGUGUUCCUUAGUGUUACCCAGGAUCGCGUGCAAAAGGUGUUAUCCAAACUCCACCCACGAAAGGCCUCGGGCCCCGACAAUGUGCCGAGCUGGCUUCUGAAAGAGUUUUCCGAUAUCAUGGCCCAACCGAUUACACAAAGGCCCAACCGAUUACACAAAUCCUGAACGCAUCCUUUAAAGAUCAGCGACUGCCACCCAUCUGGAAAAUGGCUGAUGUCCCACUUCUUCCAAAAACGAAACCUGUGUUGGAUCUCAAAAAAGACCUAAGACCUAUUUCACUAACACCGUGCGUGUCUAGGGUGGCAGAGGAAUUCGUGGUCACGGACUUUGUCAUACCAGCGGUUCUUGAGGUGAUUGGCCAAGACCAAUACGGGGCGAUCCCAAAGUCUUCUACCACCAUGGCGCUUAUAAGCAUGCUGCAUGCUUGGGCUCUCGGGACUGACGGGAAUGGAGCAACAGUAAGAACUUUGUUGUUUGACUAUCGCAAAGCCUUUGAUUUUAUUGAUCAUAGUAUUCUCGUAGAUAAGCUGAGUAGGUUGGCCAUCCCCCGUAGCGUUGUUAACUGGAUCAUUAAUUUUCUUUCCAAUAGAUUCCAACGAAUUAAGCUAGCCAAGGGCUGCUACUCCGAGUGGGGUCCAGUCCCCUCCGGGGUACCACAGGGUACCAAGCUAGGCCCGUGGUUAUUUGUUUUAUUUAUCAGUGAUCUAGAAUGUCACUCCCUUGGCUUGUGAUGUAAAAAGUCUAUAAAAAUGUCUUUACAUUUAGAAAUGCCAUGCUCAUUAGAAAAAUAACAGACAUCUCUUGCAAUGUGACAUGAUGCCGAGAACAGGAAUGAUCUCUACUAGUGUAAGAUCAUCAACGUACUUUGCUCUAGUGUUCCAGUUGUCGGACAAUCUAUUGGCCAGAAAUGCAAACAACAGGGAAUUAGCUUGGUCCCCUGUGGGAUAGUUCCUUUGGAAGAGACAUGAGAGGAAAUAGAACUACCUAUUUUAACCUCCUGUGAACAUCUAACACAUAAAGCUCAUCACAGAGAACAUUAUGAUCUAUAAGAUCAAAACCUUUGCAAAAGUCUAUAAACAUGUCCCUUGCUGAAUGCUUCUAUAAUACCAUGUAGAAAGUACACUAAGACAUGAGUAGUAGAUUUGGCCAAAAGGGCAAACUAUUUCUUGUCUGACAAUAAAGGGAAUCAAGGGUAAAUACUAUUAUGAUUUUUUUCAAUCUGUGAGGUAGGGUAAUGGGUGGCAUAUCAUUUUCAACCGACUUGGGUGGACUUCACUUUGAAAGAGGUCUGAUCACCAGGGAUUCCCUCACUUACACUGGUACAUAUCCCUCUCUUGGUGACGAGUUGUAGAUUUCAGUCUAUAUGGGUGCAAGUUUGAAGGCAAAUUCCCUAAAAAUCAAAUUAGGGACCAGUCAAGUUUAUUAAGAAGGCAUUAAAUUGCCACCAGAAGAAGUUUGCCACAAGCCCCUCUCCUAUAACACCUUUGAUUUUUAAAUGAGAUAAUUCCUUUUGGCAAACUUAUCUGCAAAUGAGUGGUUAGCAUCCCUCACAGAUCAAUCAGCAGUCCACUAUCAUGACCUCAAAAAUGACCUUUAAUUUUUUGGAAAACGAUCUAAAAAAUCAGGGUGCGUAUUAUAGCUCGAGUUGGAAAGAAGCAACUGAUCAGAUAAUAAAUCAAAGCAAAGUCCAAUCUGUACAGUAUUUUGGAAGGUUUACAGCAAAACAAAGGAUGAUCUCCAGUGCUCUCAAACUCAGAGAAAUCAAAUCAAAUACAGUACAAUACAACUUAUUUACAGUAUGUAUUACCCUCAUUAUUUUUUUUUUUUAUCUCAUAGUGUAUUUUUGCAUCUUAUAAAUUAUCUUUUUGUAUGUUUCAGAUGAAGGUCUUGUGCAAGGGGAUGUUAGGCACCCAGGUUAGCCAAGUUGCUACUUUGUUAUCAUUCUCUAAUAUUGCUUGCAGAAAAGAUUUGAAAUGUGGCAAUUUGGUUAGAAGGAGAAAUGUUGCAAAAAAACUGCAAGGCAGCCACUAUAAACAAACUCCAACCUUCCAAAGACCCACCUUGUGCUCCAUUAUCUUUGGGACAUUUCCCUGACUCCAAAAAGAGGGCCUUGGUAUUCCUUCUUGCUAAUUAAAAUUAUUACUACAACCAUUUUACACAGGAGAUGGCAUCAAACCCUGGCUGAGUAAGACAGGGUGAUUGUUGUUUAGGUACAGUGGCCAUACUUAUGUGUGUUGGUUCAUUUCAUCAUAUUAAAAUUGCUGUAUUGUAAUAUACUAAUAUUGUAUCAUACAAUAUCAGAGGGAUAACUGACCGAACUUUGUAUCAAAAUUUCGGUUUACAUAUUUAAGUAAUAAAUUUUAAUUGACUAAACUAUUUCCUGGUAGUACUCCGUCCCGAAAGUUAAUAUCCUCCAAAACAGUCCAAACCUGCCACAUUCGAAGGCACUAUAAAUCUCUUCUUUUAGCCUGUACAUACAGACCUCGAAAUUCCCUCCGAAAACGACAGAUCUCUAUUUAGUAUUAUAAGGAACGUAUUGUGAUUAGUGACAUAGACUUUUGCAGAUUCGUGAAUUUUGACAGUGACAAGAUGAAACACGCGCAACGUCACGCGAACAAUGUCGGUGUUUUCCUAAAAUCCUUCAAAAGUACAGCCCGACAAAUAUUACUGUACAUAUUUAAAAAUCAAGGCAAAAUUACCCUACCUUCCAGACUUCUUUUUCUUUGGCGGUUCCAUCGAAAUGUGACAAUCUAAACAAGUGGCGUGAACGUUUCCUCCUCCCUCGAUCGUCCUUCGCGCUACAAAAAGGCGAUCGAUACUUCAAAAUACCCUCAACUGUCCCGGUACUGAAUCAACUGGUUACUCUCUUCCUGGACACAUGUACUUAUCGUGGUCUGUUACGAAAAUUACCGUAAAAAUACAACAAUUCUUUAUCAUAACAUCGCCAGCAAGUUGCAUCGAAAGGCACCCGUUUAAAUCAAUAAUACGUCGGAUCGUAUUUCUUAUUUACCGAAUAAAGUGGGACAUACUAGGACUUUUGGUUGGCUAACGAAGAAAAGUUACUGGCGAAAAAACAAAGAGCCAAUGAGAAGCCAUGUAAGAUUUAUUAGGCCUGGUCGCAUAGUUUGUGAUUCCCUACUUCAAGUUUUAUUCAGAAAAACGUUGUUCAUGGGCCUUUUUUGAGUCAUAAACUCUCGGUUAAAUGGCGACGGAUUCCGCCAUCGCCGCUUCCACUGGCUAUGUAGAGGGAUAUCUUGAAUGAUCCACAAAGGUCCGUCAAAGCAAAAGGGGGUGGGCCAGUGAAGCCUGGUCGUGCAAGAUCCCAGGAUGGCCUAAAAGCUUUUAACACAAAACCUUGUUAACCGGGUGUACACAUAUAUGUGAAUUUUUCAGUUAACUUUUUCUAUAGAAAAUGGUAACUUUUUGCAAUUAUGUUUCUCUUAAUAAAAAAGUCAUGACAAAAUAUAGAAUCGUCCUAUAUAACAUGGUUUAUUUUGCAAUUAUGCUAAAUCCAACAUACAAACUUAUUCACUAUAUACCGAGGUCGGUUUUUGCAAUUAUGUUUUUGACACAAAUGUGAAUUUAAGAACUCAUCCUCCCCUUGUUGACCUUGUUACUGUCGUAUCAAUAGGAAGAACUUACCAGUAGGAUGGCUCCUGAAAAUCCCCAUAAAAUGUGACCAUUUCGCAGGGAGUCCGUUUACUAGUGUCACAGUCACAAAUUUGCUGGACAUCAAUUAACCAUAGAUUUCCAAUUUUAAUCGAUUGAUUAGCAUCCAUUGAUUUAUUAUCGGUUUCAUUGAUUAAUAGUGCCAGGAAAAUACCCUGGCUCCAGAGGCUCUGGUAGCAAACUAGCUUAUGCUGAGCUUACAGAUGUUGCUCUGUUCACUUAAAGUACUGUUUAGAUUUAGAGCUAGCAAUCCGUUGUUAGCUGUAUAUUUGUAUGACCCUCAUUGCUGGUAUGUCCCACCUCAUUGUGGUAAUAAUCAAAAUUAAAGAUUAAAAAAAAACAGUAAAACCUGUUUUGAGAUUGUACCUACAGUAUAAUCUAGAGAGCAUAUAUGUAAGCAUUCUUUGCUUGCUCUGUAAACCUCAAGAUUAUGAAUAGGAUGAAAUGGAAUCUGAAAUCACAUAUAAGUUAUUGGUACCUAUUCUCCGCUGGGACCUAUUCUUGGCCACAUGAAAAUUAUGUCAAAUAUUUUGUAAACUACGAAGAACAAGCUGAAGAAACAACUUAGGUGAAACAUGUUUUAUAAAGCUUUUUACGAAUGUUCAUUAUUUCGCUUACUGUAGCUUAGAGAAUUUUUAUCUUACACACCAUAAAGUAAUUACGAAAAAUUGUUUUUGAUUGCACUACGUGAGGACGAAAAAAUGCUGGUAAAAUCUCCAACAUUAACCGAUUGUGAUGAAAAUCCCUCUGCACCGCCAUUCUGUUGUUGGUGUCCCAGGGUGCUGUUCUGGCCUUUGUUUGAGCCUCGUUUUCAUGCUAGCUUUCAUUGGUUUAGCCUCGGCCACGGCACCUAUUCUCAGCCACUUGAACGAUUAAAAACAAAUUUGCGCAAUUGCAUGUUUCACCGUUCAGCAUGUCGCACACACAUAAUGUCAGUUUUUAAUCACUUGGUGCAGAGCCAAAUGAAGCUUAAAUUAGAAUUGAAUGGCACUUUUGCAAACUAAAUUUAUCAGAGAUUAUUGUAUGUGGAAUUUUAGCUAAACUGAAACUAUUUUUUUCAAAUGGACGAUAAUAGGUUAAGAGCGGACGAGAAUAGGUUCAACUGGGCAAGAAUAGGUUUGGGAAAGGGUUCGAAGUUACUUUGAUUUUUGUUGGCAAAAAACAAACAUGUAAGAAUGGUCGAAAUCAGCUCAAAGACGCAAAAUAUUCCUCUUUGAGGAAAGAUAAAGUGGAUGAGAAUAGGUGCCAAUACCUUAGCUACCCCUUUGAAAAACAUGCCAGCUAGUCCACAGGUCCAAAUUUUUUUACUUGUCAACUGCUACUUGUCAAUGUGUCCACACAUCAGUGCUCACCCUACCCAUUGGUUUCAGUGUUUUACCCCAACCCUAUUACAUAUUGAGUGGAAUAGUUGAAGUGUGAAAGAGUUGAUCCAAAAUAAGUGG